rnacentral:rRNA from 1 species
UACGUAGGGGGCGAGCGUUGUCCGGAACUACUGGGCGUAAAGAGUACGUAGGCGGUUCGAUAAGCGCAUGGUGAAAGGCAUCGGCUUAACCAGUGUCAGUCGUGCGAACUGUCGGACUUGAGUGCGGGAGAGGAAAGCGGAAUUCCUGGUGUAGCGGUGAAAUGCGUAGAGGUCAGGAGGAACACCGGUGGCGAAGGCGGCCUUCUGGACCGUAACUGACGCUGAGGUACGAAAGCGUGGGGAGCAAACA